UACGUAGGGUGCAAGCGUUUGUCCGGAAUUAUUGGGCGUAAAGAGCUCGUAGGCGGUUUGUCGCGUCUGCUGUGAAAUCUGGAGGCUCAACCUCCAGCCUGCAGUGGGUACGGGCAGACUAGAGUGCGGUAGGGGGAGAUUGGAACUCCUGGUGUAGCGGUGGAAUGCGCAGAUAUCAGGAAGAACACCGAUGGCGAAGGCAGAUCUCUGGGCCGUAACUGACGCUGAGGAGCGAAAGCAUGGGGGAGCGAACAGG
rnacentral:rRNA from 1 species